UACGUAGGGUGCAAGCGUUGUCCGGAAUUAUUGGGCGUAAAGAGCUCGUAGGCGGCCUGUCGCGUCUGCUGUGAAAUCCCGGGGCUUAACCCCGGGCGUGCAGUGGAUACGGGCUGGCUGGAGGCAGGCAGGGGUGAACGGAAUUCCCGGUGUAGCGGUGAAAUGCGCAGAUAUCUGGAGGAACACCGGUGGCGAAGGCGGCAUCCUGGACCAACACUGACGCUGAGGAGCGAAAGCCAGGGGAGCAAACGGG
rnacentral:rRNA from 1 species